CGGGGCGUAGCGCAGCCUGGUAGCGCACCUGCCUUGGGCGCAGGGGGUCGGAGGUUCAAAUCCUCUCGCCCCGACCA
rnacentral:tRNA from 6 species